GAUGAACGCUGGCGGCGUGCUUAACACAUGCAAGUCGAACGGAAAGGCCCAAGCUUGCUUGGGUACUCGAGUGGCGAACGGGUGAGUAACACGUGGGUGAUCUGCCCUGCACUUCGGGAUAAGCCUGGGAAACUGGGUCUAAUACCGGAUAGGACGAUGGUUUGGAUGCCAUUGUGGAAAGUUUUUUCGGUGUGGGAUGAGCUCGCGGCCUAUCAGCUUGUUUGUGGGGUAAUGGCCUACCAAGGCGUCGACGGGUAGCCGGCCUGAGAGGGUGUACGGCCACAUUGGGACGGAGAUACGGCCCAGACUCCUACGGGAGGCAGCAGUGGGGAAUAUGGCACAAUGGGCGCAGGCCUGAUGCAGCGACGCCGCGUGGGGGAUGACGGCCUUCGGGUUGUAAACUCCUUUCGCUAGGGACGAAGCGUUUUUGUGACGGUACCUGGAGAAGAAGCACCGGCUAACUACGUG
rnacentral:rRNA from 1 species